rnacentral:rRNA from 1 species
CCGAUGACUCGGGGAUAGCCUUUCGAAAGAAAGAUUAAUACCCGAUGGCAUAGUUCUUCCGCAUGGUAGAACUAUUAAAGAAUUUCGGUCAUCGAUGGGGAUGCGUUCCAUUAGGUUGUUGGCGGGGUAACGGCCCACCAAGCCUUCGAUGGAUAGGGGUUCUGAGAGGAAGGUCCCCCACAUUGGAACUGAGACACGGUCCAAACUCCUACGGGAGGCAGCAUG